AUUUACGAGACUUGCUCGACCUGUAGAUUCUUGUUUAUGUGUAUUCCUUAUGGAUGAUUUACAAAAACAAGAGAUUUUUUAAAAUUUAACUACUGAUUUUGUGCUAAUGUAUCAAUACAUUAAUAGAAAUUUACUAUAAAUACUCUAUAUGGUAGAAAAUGUCUGAUAUACUACAUAAAUAUAAUUUCGAUAUUCAAAUUUAGGAAGAGAUUUUGAGGUUAACAGCCGAAAUGUGAGGUUGCGACUGAUCAUUUUGUAAACAAAAGUUGAAAAGACAUGUUUGUCCUCCUAAUCUUAACUGUUUUUAAUACCUAUAAUGUUGAAAUUUUGCUUUCUCUAUUUAAUUAGAGUAUUUUUUAAGAUAUCACCGUAAUUCGGUCUUAAAUUUCGAUGAAAUAUAGUUUUUUAGUGAUAUUCUCCAAGCAAAAGGGUGAACUUUUGUAAACCAUUCUAUUUUUUAUAAUAAAAAUGAUAAUUUGCUUUGCCCCGGACUGUAAACACUAUAAUGAAAGAUGGUUAUGUAGAUUCUUUAUGUUUACAAAGGAUCUAGUUGAAAAAAAGAGGUAGAUUUCAUUACUAAGUAAGAAAAUAUAGUGAUAGUAAAGAACUGAAUUUAUCCCUUUAUUACUAUUGACUCACAGACGGAAAGAUAGGGAACCAUUCUUUAGUUUGCUGGUGCCACUUUGUGAAUUCUGACCAACAAAAUGACCCAACAUUUUUAGAGCAUAUCAAGCCAAAGGUUUUUUUGAUGGACAAUUAACCUUUACAUCUAAAUUAAAAGAGUAAAGCAGCCAGGAGAAGGGCAUGGCUCUAACCCUCAACAAUGAGCAUUACAGAAAAUUAACAGUUCCCUAGGUAACCAUCCACUGAAAAUCUUAGAAGAAUAAUAGAGCCCCCAAGGCAACCAUAAGAGUAAUUGUUGACAUUACCGCAGUUCAUCAGGUAACCAUAUUGUCUUAUUUGGACCUACCAUCUGACCCCUACUGAAGAUCGUAAAGAACUCAAGACAGCACCUUAAGAAGCCUUCAGACCAUCAGCUAAGAUCCUUAAUAAAAUAUAUAGCUGGCCUGUAAACAUAGACAGACUAUUUUUAUAUAAAGUAACAUCAUAAAUUCUAAAAUGUAGAUCUUGAAUUGUGACCAUAAUAAAAUGAGAAAAUAAAGCAUUUAUACUGAA
rnacentral:lncRNA from 1 species